rnacentral:lncRNA from 1 species
ACUCUGGUAGAUGGACAUAUGAACAACAAUAUGAAGAUUACAUCAGUGAUGCAGUAUUGUUGAGCAUAAAUGAAUCGUAUAACCAAGUCUACACACUACUAGCUUCUCACAUUGGUGUAGAUUUGACCUGCAAAAGCAUUCAUAUUGAAUAUCAAUUAACAGAUAUUGUUUUUUGUGGAAAUUUUGACUUUUAAGAGUCGUCAUUUAAUUUAUUUGAAAAGGAAUUAAGAAAAUCUUUAUACGAUACUUUAAACUAUUCAAAACAGAAAAAUCAUUUAAACUUUAGAGAUUCUAGGUAAGCGGUUCCUAUUAAUGUUUUAGGAAGAUUUUAGGGCACCUAAAACGUCUGCUAACUUACGGUUAUCCGAACUGUUUGAAAAUAUCUUGUACUGACUUAAAAAGAUUGAUUUUUCAAAAGUGAUUGAUUUUAGGAAAAAGUUGUGUAAAAAUAGGUUUGGACGACUUAGUAGGGAUUUUAACUAAAUCUAAACAAACUAGCAACAAAGCAUGUAAAAGAGGAAGGGGAGAAAAUAUAAGACAUAGGCCAUUGGGCCCAAGUCGACGGAUCCUGUCCUAGUCUAGUUGGGCUUUUUGGCUCACUUGCAUCUGUCCUAAUAUAAUGUUGAGAUUUGGCCCGUAACCUGUCCUAAACUAAUUUUUCAGGCCUGUUGGACUGAAAUCUGCUCCACCUUUAUUAAAUUUACAACUUUGGCUUCAAGGCCCAAAUGAAUAAAUAAAGAAAAAAAGACUAAGACAACAAAUAAGUGAAUACAUGAGACAACAAACAAGUAAAUAAAUAAAUAAAUAAAUAAGACCGUCAAGUCUCUUAGCUACUUCAAAUAUGGGAUUUUAACCCCUUCUUCUUCUUCUUUAAUCUCAUCGUAUUCAUAUACCAUGGAUCACUUUUAACUAAACUCCGAAAUCGACCCGCAAAGGGUGGCUUUAUUGGCUCAUGGAAAAUAUGCAACAGGAAUGAGUCCAUGCAGGACUCAAAGGAUUUUCAUGCAAAGAAAGAAGGGAAAGAACACAUUAAUAUAUGGUUGACAAAAGAAAGAAAAAGAGAAAGGGUAAAAUAAGCCAACACAUAAUUUACCAAAGUGGGAAACAAUUAUAUCGAUUCAUGACUAUAAAAAAAGUAAUCGGGAUUGUAAUAAUGAUCAAGAAAACAAAGUAUGUAUAUUCGUUCGAAUAACCAUCCAAUCAAGAUAAGAGAAAUUAUAAUAGUUGACGUGCUCUCAAUUAAAGAAAAAAAUGAAGAGACUGAUGUAUGAUUGACUAGAGGGAGCAAUGCAACUUAGAUAUUUAAUGAUUAAGAGUCAAUUAAUAAAUAAUGAGUUGUGCUCAUAUAGUCAUAACAUCAACAAAAAACCAGGGUAAUUAAAACAGCAGGGAAACCAAAUUAUGAAUCAAUUUCCCAUAUAAAGAAAAAACUUAUGGAAGAUAAUGCAGAAAGGCACAAUCAAUCUUCAAAUUGAACUCAAAGAAAGAUAAAAGAAACUAAGACAAACCAACUUCCAGAUUCAAGCUCAACGAACAGUAGAGGAAUCAAGAUGCAAAUCAAUUUCCAAUUUAAAGCUUAUGAACAAUAAAGGAACUGGAAUCAAUCUCCAGAUUAAUGUAAAGUAAUAAAGAAAACUAAGAUUUACAACCAAUAACCAGAUUUGAACUUAAAGGAUGGUAGAGAAAUUGAUCUCCAAGUUAAAGCUUGUGGAGCGACUGUGAGGAUUGAAAGAACAUAAUCAUGGAUAUAAAGGAAAACUUUGAAAAAAAAGAAAUCCCUAUACAGAGAACGUUUCCGAAAGCGCACCCUAAUAAACCCCUUUUGUAUGUAAGUCCAUAGGGUGCUUGAGGGUAUUACUACAUGCUAAUCGAGCAAAAAUAAGAGCAUUUAGGAAUCCUAAAGGUUCAAAAGAGGGCCUCAUUAAUAGGUUCUCAAAGAUGGAGGUAGACCAUCAUGCCGCUCAACUCCACCUCUUAACUGGGCUUUUGAAAGCAAAAAAAUGUGACUUUAUCCCUCUUUCCUUGACGUUUCUAUUCAAUAAAAGUCUUUAGGAAUCCUUAGUCCAAGCGCGAAUUACAUGUAUAAAAUUAUGACAACACAAAAAAUUAUGGGAUUCUCCAAAUAAGCAUAUUCAAAUCUUCAGUAGUUCAACAGGACAACAUCAAAUUCAUCUUUUUACUCGGUCAACAUCUUGAAACAUAAACCUAAGGGAAAAUAAGAAUCUAUAUUUGACUUUUUGGGACCAAAAUAGGCGCAACCAACAAAUUAAAGAAGGGGGAGUGGCAGGGGAUAUUAUUUUCAUCCUCAUCCUCUUUCUAACAAAUUCAGCAUGAGUUUAAUAGCCAAAAUAGUCCUCGAAGAAUCAUGGGAUUUUCUGGUAACUUUAUUAUCGGACAUAUUUUGGUCAUUCUCUUUUGACAUUGGAGAAACUAGAGGAAAUCAUAAAAUAUUCCUGCUAGUGAUGUUACUAGCUAAAUAGAAAUCCGUGACUCAAACAAGACACCAUCAAGCUAGCCAGUAAAGCAAAAAUUUAAACCAGAAUCCCGAAGUGAAUCGGUGGAUCAAACCCACAAGCAAUACCAAUAUAAAUCUAUAAAUUGGAGGCUAAAUAGCUUUGUUAAAAAUCAACUAAUAGAUUAUAAAUCUGAUACAGGCAAAUGAGACUCAAGCCGAAAGAUUUAAUGACUAAAUCGGCAGUUUGACAUCAAACAUAAUCACAUGAUAAGCAAUAUCUUCAGCAAACAUAUCCAAUGGUCUUACAAGACCUCUACAGCAAAUAAUCCUAGCAUACCAUAUCAAUAACAAAACACUAAUACACCACAGAAUUGGAAGAUGAAGGAGAAAUAAUCAAAAGAUAAAUAAAAUAGAGUGUUACCUGUUUGGGAGCAGCAAAAUAGAACUUCGAGCUCUUUUGAACUUCACCACCACUGGAAAAUUCAACACCGCUACGAAAAUAUUGACUAGCCGACUUCUUUUCCUAAACUUUUUACUAAAAAAUUCUUUUCUAUUCUUGCAACCAAUUUUUCUCCCUUUUUUCCUUCCUCAUUUUCUCUUAUUUUUUGUUUUCAAAGGAAUUUUUUCCUCCUCUUUUUCGGACCCCUUUUUUCUCCCAAAACUAACCUUUUUAUAGAGAAAAGGCUAGGGUUUAUUUUAGGGUUUCAACUGGUGUGGAAAAAAUUAAAAUUGGGGGGGUAAUUUGGGGAAUUUUUUGGAGAUAGAAUUCAAAAUUUGAACUCCUAAUAAGGUUACCUCUCCAAAUCCUUUAUCAACUUGGAUUUUUUUUCAAUUAAUUCAAAAUUCCUUUGUAAACCUAUGAGAAUCCACCAAACAUGUACAAAUUCGUACAAAUUCAUCUAAGAUUCGCGAAACCAAACCGUUAGGGGAAACACCUAAGCACUUCUAGAGAAUUCUUGACAUCUUUCUCAUACAACAUCCGCAUGGGAUGCAUGAAAGAGAUUGAAAAUGAGUUGAUUGUGGGUUGUUGGUAUUGGGUUGUUGAUUGGAUCGAGUUUGGCUACGUGAAAUUAUUGUUGAUGUUUGUACGCAAUUGUUCGUGCUUUUGUUGUUGUUCGCAGAUAAGAGAAAAGAGGAUUUAUAGAUGGGCUUAGUUUAUG